CAGAUGGGGACACGAGUCUGAGACUUGGACUGGAGUUGCACUUAAGUCGCACAAACAGCUGACUUCAGACUUGACUUGCAACUCGACCCAAAAGACUUCAGACUUGAGCUUCGAGACUCGUCAACAACCUGCUGUCAUGCAAUUAUUGUUGUUAAAUCUACAUGUAU